rnacentral:rRNA from 1 species
AGUGAACGCUGGCGGUAGGCCUAACACAUGCAAGUCGAACGGCAGCACAGUAAGAGCUUGCUCUUACGGGUUGCGAGUGGCGGACGGGUGAGGAAUACAUCGGAAUCUACUUUUUCGUGGGGGAUAACGUAGGGAAACUUACGCUAAUACCGCAUACGACCUACGGUUGAAAGCAUGGGAUCUUCGGACCUUGCGCGAUUGAAUGAGCCGAUGUCGGAUUAGCUAGUUGGCGGGGUAAAGGCCCACCAAGGCGACGAUCCGUAGCUGGUCUGAGAGGAUGAUCAGCCACACUGGAACUGAGCCACGGUCCAGACUCCUACGGGAGGCAGCAGUGGGGAAUAUGGGACAAUGGGCGCAAGCAUGAUCCAGCCAUACCGAGUGGGUGAAGAAGGCCUUCGGGUUGUAAAGACCUUUUGUUGGGAAAGAAAAGCAGCCGGUUAAUACCACGCUGUUCUGACGGUACCCAAAGAAUAAGCACCGGCUAACUUCGUG